GAUGAACGCUGACAGAAUGCUUAACACAUGCAAGUCAACUGUGGCGGACGGGUGAGUAACGCGUAAAGAACUUGCCUCACAGAUAGGGACAACAUUUGGAAACGAAUGCUAAUACCUGAUACUGUGAGAUAGCUUUUCGUCCCAUUAGCUAGUUGGAGAGGUAACGGCUCACCAAGGCGAUGAUGGGUAGCCGGCCUGAGAGGGUGAUCGGCCAAAAGGGGAAUGAGACACGGCCCUUACGCCGACGGGAGGCAGCAGUGGGGAAGAUUGGACAAUGGACCAAAGUCUGAGCCAGCAAUUCUGUGUGAACGAUGAAGUUUUCGGAAUGUAAAGUGCUUUCAGUUGGGAAGCGGUACCAACAGAAGAAGUGACGGCUAAAUACGUGCCAGCAGCCGCGGUAAUUC
rnacentral:rRNA from 1 species